CGUCUGGAUGACAAGUGAUAUAAAAAUGGUAAUUUAUGACAUUCGGAAUAGUAUCGGCUUUUUUAGCUUGUUGUCAAAGAUAAUGUCCAAGACGAAUAACCAAGAAGUUGGUUAUUGACUUCGGAAGAAAUGACAUUACGAUAAUAUUAUUGAAAAGCCCGAGUGUACCGAUUGUUGUUUAAAGCUAUUUAUAUAUUUUUGUGACGAAAUACAAUUCAUGGAAAACACCGUACAGCAUGGCUGAUAUGGACAUGGAGGCGAAGGAAUAAACCAGCACAUCCAACCUUGGUAAGAUGUUAUAACAACACACACUGUAACAUAAAUUGCAAUGCAAACCUGAUACACCGAGUAGUUAUAUUCUUUCAUGCAUGUCCGUGCAACGAAAACGAGUUUAUAAUUAUACAAUAAAUGUCAAUUGUUAUGUUGACUGGGACCACUCGAACAGUCGUAUACGUUAUAAAUACAUUUUGGGUUGAUGUUUAGUAUCGUUUACUUUAUAAAUACUUGAUGGAAAACUGCUAAGACGCCGAAAUAUCACCUUCAUCCAAGAUAUGUUUGUUGUAUCUAUCUAAAUCUUGAUAUGUGUAAACAUGGUAAAGACAAAGAGGGGGAUGAGAGAUACACAAUGAUGUACACUUUCAAAGAAAAACAAAGUGUAUCUAAAAGAUGCUAGAAGAUUUUAUACUAAAUGGUCAAAAUGAUUUGUACAUUAGAUUUUCUGCAAAAGACAGUUUAAACAAUAUAUUCAGCAUCAAUGAAGAGAGGUGUCAAUGAGGCAGCUACCAGUGAAUCCAAUGCCAUAAAAUACCAAAAGUAGUCUAGACAUCUUCAUGAUUAACAGUUUAUCAUGUAGACUAAAACAAAAAGUGAAGAUAAAAUUGCCAAUAGCUCAAUAUUACACAAAUAAGGAGAUGUAGUAUGAAUACCAACUAUCCACUCAAGUUCAAAUGAAUUGGAUGUGAGUAAUUAUAGGCAACUGUAUGGCCUUCAAAAAAGAGAAAAAAUCCAUUCUUGGUUUGAAUAGAGAAAACAAACAGGGAAUGUGUCAAAGAGACACUGGGCAACCCGACCAAAAAGCAGUAAACAGUUUAAUGCCACCAAUGGGUCGGGUCUUCAACGCAGCAAGAUAAUAUUGCACCCUAAAGCGGGAUUCAGCUUGCCCCAGGACAAUAAUUUAUACAAUAUAUUUCUAUGAUGGUUUUUUUUAAACAAUUUGUUUUUCAUAUAUAUGCUAUGCUGGUGACUAAAAAUUAAUAUGAUUUUAAUAUUUACUUUCUUUUGUAGACAAACCAAUGAUGAUUUAUGGACACAGAUUUUAUGUGUAAAAUGUGAAGAAUUAAAAAAACAUGUAAUAUUCAGGAUUUUCAUUGUAUCAUAAACAAUCAUGCUUCAAUUUUAUAAGAACAAAGUUCAAACUGAAAGAUUUUUUUUUAAUUACUGAAGCAUCAAUCAGUAUAAAUAGAUCACAGUACCAAACAUGUUGGAUAUACAUUAUUUUGACAGGCGCCACAAAGCGAAAAAAAAAACCAACAGACGUAUAUUGAUUAAAUGAAACAAAUAUCAAGAAACACAUUAUUGUCAGAUAUGGUAGGGAAG
rnacentral:lncRNA from 1 species